UUUCCGUAGGUGAACCUGCGGAAGGAUCAUUAUUGUGAACCUCGGGGCGUUCCGCGAGAGCGGUCCGUCCCAACCUCAAACCACUGUGAACAACCGCCGUCGGCCGUCGCCGUCGGCACAACCUUUACACCUGUCGUACUACGUCCAGAAAGUAAAAACAAAAGAGUACAACUCUCAACGAUGGAUCUCUUGGCUCUCGCAUCGAUGAAGAACGCAGC
rnacentral:misc_RNA from 1 species